CCUACGGGAGGCAGCAGUAGGGAAUCUUCCACAAUGGACGAAAGUCUGAUGGAGCAACGCCGCGUGAGUGAAGAAGGUUUUCGGAUCGUAAAACUCUGUUGUUGGAGAAGAAUGUAUCUGAUAGUAACUGAUCAGGU
rnacentral:rRNA from 1 species